AUGAUUCAGAGGAUGACAGUGGGUGUGAGGCUUGCUUCACUCUCGGUCUACAACCAGGCUGAAGUCUCUUAUGGAGAGGUCCGGCUGUGAGAGGAUUGUCCUGGGCUGGGGGGAGGGAGAGCAAAGUGGAUGAGGACCACAGCCCGCAGGAUGGAUGCUAGGGUUGACUGUGUGUGCAAGGCACAGUGCAAUGUGGUCCCCUUUAAUAUGCAUACACUGAGAUGUACUCUCUCCCACGUCAAUCAUCCUGUGGUCCACAUUUCGCACUAUCAGAGUGCCUCUUUGCCUUGGUUGAAAGCUGUCUGCCACUGUCCUGGACCUAUGUGGUAGCUGAAGUUAUUGUAAACAGUUUGUUGUUAUUUUAACUGAUUCCGGCUAGGGGAAGGAGGGAAUUAGCUGUUACUCCACACUGGGCCCUAAGACCUGAUCUCUGAAGCGGCACCCCUAUCUCCACAGCAGCAGCCGGGAUGCUGGGAAGAGUUUUUCACAGCCUCCCUCAGAAAAAUUGGCUCCAAAGACCUGGGAUGUUGGUGAUAACGGGACGAAGACAGCACACAGCGGAUGACAUUUUGAAGAACUAACCUGCAGAGAGUGGGAGGGAGGUGAUCGCCAGUACUCUCAGGGCCCUACUCCGUCCCUCUCCUAGCAAGCUUGGGGCUCGAAGCAGAGGGCACAACCGGUAGAGCAUAGGUCUCCUUAGACUCCCGCACACUUCCUUCCCCAGAACUGCAUUCUCUUCUCCCAGGCCUUCCUUCCCCCUAGGCGCCCUGCACCCAGACCCUCUAAGCUGGGCGCUGACGUUGCUAUUAGUCGGGGCUCCGUGCUGCUCCGCCU
rnacentral:lncRNA from 1 species